rnacentral:rRNA from 1 species
CCGCGGUAAUUCCAGCUCCAAUAGCGUAUAUUAAAGUUGUUGCAGUUAAAAAGCUCGUAGUUGGAUUUGUGGUUGGAGAGGUCCGCCGUUGCUAUGCUUCGUGUUGGAUCUUUCCGUCCAUCCUUGGGUGGAUCCUGUGUGGCAUUCAGUUGUCGUGCAGGGGAUGCCCAUCGUUUACUGUGAAAAAAUUAGAGUGUUCAAAGCAGGCUUACGCCUUGAAUAUAUUAGCAUGGAAUAAUAAGAUAGGACCUGGGUACUAUUUUGUUGGUUUGCGCACCGAGGUAAUGAUUAAUAGGGACAGUUGGGGGUAUUCGUAUUCCAUUGUCAGAGGUGAAAUUCUUGGAUUUUUGGAAGACGAACUACUGCGAAAGCAUUUACCAAGGAUGUUUUCAUUAAUCAAGAACGAAAGUAUGGGGAUCGAAGAUGAUUAGAUACCAUCGUAGUCUUAACCAUAAACUAUGCCGACAAGGGAUUGGCGGUUGUUCGUUUUGACUCCGUCAGCACCUUAUGAGAAAUCACAAGUCUUUGGGUUCCGGGGGGAGUAUGGCC